GACGAACGCUGGCGGCGUGCCUAAUACAUGCAAGUUGAGCGAUGAAGAUUGGUGCUUGCACCAAUUUGAAGAGCAGCGAACGGGUGAGUAACGCGUGGGGAAUCUGCCUUUGAGCGGGGGACAACAUUUGGAAACGAAUGCUAAUACCGCAUAACAACUUUAAACAUAAGUUUUAAGUUUGAAAGAUGCAAUUGCAUCACUCAAAGAUGAUCCCGCGUUGUAUUAGCUAGUUGGUGAGGUAAAGGCUCACCAAGGCGAUGAUACAUAGCCGACCUGAGAGGGGGGACGGCCACAUUGGGGCUUGGACACGGCCCAAGCUCCUACGGGAGGCAGCAGUAGGGAAUCUUCGGCAAUGGGCGGAAGUCUGACCGAGCAACGCCGCGUGAGUGAAGAAGGUUUUCGGAUCGUAAAACUCUGUUGGUAGAGAAGAACGUUGGUGAGAGUGGAAAGCUCAUCAAGUGACGGUAACUACCCAGAAAGGGACGGCUAACUACGUG
rnacentral:rRNA from 1 species